rnacentral:lncRNA from 1 species
GUUCUUUUUUGUUGUUGUUAUUCUUUGCGUCAUUUCCAGAGAGACAGGAAGGAAAACAUAGUAAACAUUCUUCAAUUCUGCACAAAAGCCGAGAAGGGAUUUUCUUCAGGAACCUCCUUGUGGCUCUGCCAUGGCGGGGAGGGUUGGGGGUAAGAAAUAUAAGACCCAAUUCCCUGUGGAGGCGGGGAUUCGGUGAAACCAAUCCCUUGAAUGUGGGGUGGAACCAACAUGUAACUCAAUUUGCUUUGGCUCUCACUGUGCAUUUGAGCUAAAGCAAGGGAAGCAUUUCCCCUUCCCCUGGCUGAAAGCUCAGCUGACCCCGAGGCUCUUCUGGUCAUGCUUAGGAUGUCACUAUCAAUCACGCUUCGACUGAGUACAGCCAAACCAGGAUACUCAGGGACUUGGAAUCUGUUACCAGACUUUUAUUUAGUACAGACACAGCGCCAGGGGGCUGAGCAUUCUUCAGCAACACCCUUUGGACCCCUUUCUACACCAUCAUGCUGUAUGAACAGAAGGGUUGGGGACAUGAAGGAGCAGCUCAGCUAAGGUGACCCAGAUGGUUGGGCUCAGAGCUGGAAGAACACCGUGGUCUUCUGACUCCCAAUUCCUGCAUCUGUCCUGCUUGUAAGAGGCUUGCCAAGAACAGGAGCUUUUGUUUGUAGGUCUCUAGGGAUGGCCACCACAGGGAGUGUGAUUUGAAGAUGGGGUCGGCGUGACAUUACAGGCCCCCUUUAGGCUCUGCUGGGUUGCAGGCCAGCUCUCUGGGCUGCCUUUCUGAUGGCUGCUAUUUUAAAGGCAGAUAGGAUGAAGUUAGCAACAACUUAUAUCAUUAAACUAGCAAGGGCUCAGGAGGGGCAGCCCCCUUCUGGGAAUGUGCCUAGCUCCUGCUCCAGAAUGGAGGAGUUUCUGUGGCUCUAGGAGAGCUGGCCUUCUAUGGAGUCUGAGCAAUGUACCGCACGGGGAGGAGAAGACGCUUCCAGAAGAUACCAGUGUUUCUAUCCAGAGACGUUUCCAGGACACCACGUUAAGCAGCAGAGACACUAGAAGCCAAGGCACCUAUGGUCUGGUGUGGAUGUGUGCCUCCUGUGCCUCAGUGGCAUCAUCCGUACCAUGGGAGGUGUGUAAUGAGGGGUGAGAUCACGUCUGUGAGGGCACGUACAUAGUAGAUGCCCAGGAAGUGCCAGUCCCCAUCUCCUUCCCAGUUUCUUCAAAGCCUUCUGGAAGGCACUGGCAUAGCCCAGUCCUGAGGCACUGCUUUUUCUUUCAUGGAUGAUCAGGAGCUUCUGUGAUUUCUUCCCCCUCACUCUUCAUUUUGCCAAGAUGUUGCCCAUAGUAACCUCAGCAGUGGAGCGAGGAUUCUGCACUGUUCCACUGCCCUGGGGCUGCACACCCACGUGAGCGGGGCCGACCCGUCCCAGAGCGCUUUGCCCUCAGAAGGCAGCAUCACCUGCAGGAGCAAUGCCAUGGACAGCUCUGGCUUGUCCUCCAGGGCCCUGGCAUGGUCAGUGAGAAAAUGCCCCUGGGGCAUGGGCUUCUCCUGUCAGUCAAGUUCAGAAGGCUUCCUGGGGUAGGUAGAGACGCUCCCUACCCAGCUGAGUUAUUGAAAUGAUAGGAGGGAGAAGGGAAGGUCUGGGCAUGUGGCACUGUGAUUUUUUUUUCUUUCUUCUUUUUUUUUUUUUUUUUUUUUGGAGACUCGGGGUAGAAAUGAGGACAGGAAGAAGUACAAUCCGUCUGGGAUUGGUUUAUUUUUAUUGCUUUUUAAAAUCAUGUGACUAAUUGGUGUUCAUUGAAAAAGAGAAAACAAAAAUAAGCCAAGAGAAGACAGCAAAAAUAAUCUGUUAACAUCUUGGCAAAUAUCCUUUUUCUCUGCAUAGAAACGGAGAAUACUUUUGUUUCACUUAUAAAAUGUUUCUUAAUGUACACAGCUUUAUAACCUGCUUUUUGCUUAAUGGGACAAUAUACUAGGACAUGUUUUCAGGCCAACAGAUAAAUAUACUUCACUUGCAU